GGGCCCAUAGCUCAACUGGCAGAGCCACCGGCUCAUAACCGGUCGGUCCUGGUUCGAGUCCGGGUGGGCCCACCA
rnacentral:tRNA from 1 species